rnacentral:rRNA from 1 species
CUGCGAGUGAAGCGGCAAAAGCUCAAAUUUGAAAUCUGACGCUGAAUUAUUCUGGCGUUCGAGUUGUAAUUUGGAGGAACAUCUUCGGGGGCGGGCGCUGUUCUAAGUACUUUUGGAAUUGGACGUCAUAGAGGGUGAGAAUCCCGUGCCAGGACGGCUGACCCGUGUCCAUGUGAAGUGUUUCCGACGAGUCGAGUUGUUUGGGAAUGCAGCUCAAAAUGGGUGGUAAAUUUCAUCUAAAGCUAAAUACAGGCGAGAGACCGAUAGCGCACAAGUAGAGUGAUCGAAAGAUGAAAAGCACUUUGAAAAGAGAGUUAAACAGUACGUGAAAUUGUUGAAAGGGAAGCGCUUGAGAUCAAACCUUGGCGGUUGUGGUGAUCCCCGGUGGAAGGGUGUCAAAGCUCUUCAACGGUUGUCAUUGCUGCAGGCCAGGCCAGCAUCGGUUCUGACGGUGGGAAAAAGGGAUCAGGGAAUGUGGCUCUUCGGUUUCGAGGAGUGUUAUAGCCCAGAGCUCUAUAUGCCACCAGUUUGGGACCGAGGAUCGCGCAGAUUUAUUCUGCUAGGAUGGUGGCAUAAUGGUUUUAAGCGACCCG